CCUACGGGAGGCAGCAGUAGGGAAUAUUGCUCAAUGGGGGAAACCCUGAAGCAGCAACGCCGCGUGGAGGAUGAAGGUUUUCGGAUUGUAAACUCCUUUUGUUAGAGAAGAUAAUGACGGUAUCUAACGAAUAAGCACCGGCUAACUCCGUGCCAGCAGCCGCGGUAAUACGGAGGGUGCAAGCGUUACUCGGAAUCACUGGGCGUAAAGAGCGCGUAGGCGGGAUAGCAAGUCAGAUGUGAAAUCCUAUGGCUUAACCAUAGAACUGCAUUUGAAACUGGUAUUCUAGAGUAUGGGAGAGGUAGGUGGAAUUCUUGGUGUAGGGGUAAAAUGCGUAGAUAUUAAGAGGAAUACUCAUUGCGAAGGCGACCUGCUAGAACAUAACUGACGCUGAUGCGCGAAAGCGUGGGGAGCAAACAGGAUUAGAUACCCCAGUAGUC
rnacentral:rRNA from 1 species